rnacentral:rRNA from 1 species
UACGGAGGAUGCGAGCGUUAUCCGGAUUUAUUGGGUUUAAAGGGUGCGUGGGCGGAUCGUUAAGUCAGUGGUCAAAUUGAGGGGCUCAACCCCUUCCCGCCAUUGAAACUGGCGAUCUUGAGUGGAAGAGAAGUAUGCGGAAUGCGUGGUGUAGCGGUGAAAUGCAUAGAUAUCACGCAGAACCCCGAUUGCGAAGGCAGCAUGCCGGCUUCCUACUGACGCUGAAGCACGAAAGCGUGGGGAUCGAACAGG